ensembl:lncRNA
CGGAGCCUGGAGGUGGGCCACUGUAAGCCCCACCUGGACCUACAGCAAGCCCAGGGGGUCCAAGCAGGGCCAGGCUGUAUCUUUUUCCAUAAAGGAGAGCACACUGGGGCAGGGAAAAGAUCUCCCAGCUGGAAAAGUAGAGCCUGGAAGAAGCUCCCUUCAUGUGGCUUUUAAAGCAAAGACGGUCCAGAGGAACAAGUUGGAGUGACUGUCCCAAGCUUGCGGGGCCUCCAGUCUGGAGGAGAAAGGAGAGAAAGGCUUCAGCUACACUUGGUGCUAAGCUGUGGAAGGACCCUUUGGAAAGGCUUAACUGGAUUCAUGUCUGCUGCUGCUGCUGCUGCUGCUGCUGCUGCUGCUGCUGCUGCUAAGUCGCUUCAGUUGUGUCCGACUCUGUGCGACCGCACAGACGGCAGCCCACCAGGCUCCUCUGUCCCUGGGAUUCUCCAGGCAAGAACACUGGAGUGGGGAGCCAUUGCCUUCUCUGGGUUCAUGUGUGAAAUCCUUGGAACUCCAUGAAGGAAGAUUCCACAUGACUCAGAGCAACAAAGCCUGUGAGCCACAACUACUGAAGCCCAUGCAUCUUAAGAGCCUGUGCUCUGUAAGAAGAGAAGCCACUGCGAAGGGAAGCCCGCACACCACACUGAAGAAU